ACACCUCGGUGUUUGCAGAGCCUCGGCCUCGGCCCCGGCCCCGGCGGUCUGGGAGCGGACGCCUAGCCCUGCGCCGGGCGGCCCUGAAGAGGGAAAUGCGGCUGCGGGGCCGCGGGGACUUACCUGCAGCAGCACGGCCAGCAGGAAGCACAAGUGUCCUGGUGACCAGUUUUCUAUUUCUUCAUCUUCCAUGGUGGAGACAUGCCCAUUGAGGAUAAAAUAAAGAACUAAGGCUUGGCUAAAUGAUUUGCUUUGGCCUAAGAGAUGUCAGCAAACAUGAUGUGAGUUCAGUAAGUGUUUGCACAUUGGCACAUUGCUCUCACCACGUUAAGAAGUCCAAGGAGCCAACUUGAAGAUGAAAGACCUACAGAGAGAAAUGUCCAGAUCCUCAGCUUUCUCAGCUGAGCUCAACCCCCUGGAAAUCCCCCAACUGAAUGCAGCGCCAUGAGUGAACUCAGGUGAAACAGCAGAAGAGCUUUCCAGGCAACCCACAGAAUCAUGAGAAAUAGUAAAUUAUUGUUAUUAGUCUCUAAGUUUUGGAGCUUUUUGUCAUACAGUCAUAAAUAAUUAAAACGCAUGCCUUAUUUAUUUUUUAUCCAUGUAUUAAUAUAUUUGUUUAUUCAUUUAUUUAUUUGGCAAUUAUUUAAAUAUCACAGGCACUGGGAUAUAUAAUGCCUGUAAUAAUGCUAAGCACUGGGAGAUAUAAUGAUAGACAAGACAGAGACUGUGCUGUGAAGAAGCAU
rnacentral:lncRNA from 1 species